AACGAACGCUGGCGGCAUGCCUAACACAUGCAAGUCGAACGAGACCUUCGGGUCUAGUGGCGCACGGGUGCGUAACGCGUGGGAACCUGCCCUUAGGUUCGGAAUAACUCCCCGAAAGGGGUGCUAAUACCGGAUAAUGUCUUCGGACCAAAGAUUUAUCGCCUUUGGAUGGGCCCGCGUUGGAUUAGCUAGUUGGUAGGGUAAAAGCCUACCAAGGCGACGAUCCAUAGCUGGUCUGAGAGGAUGAUCAGCCACACUGGGACUGAGACACGGCCCAGACUCCUACGGGAAGCAGCAGUGGGGAAUAUUGGACAACGGGCGAAAGGCUGAACCAGCAAUGCCGCGUGAGUGAUGAAGGCCUUAGGGUUGUAAAGCUCUUUUACCCGGGAUGAUAAUGACAGUACCGGGAGAAUAAGCCCCGGCUAACUCCGUG
rnacentral:rRNA from 1 species